GUUUUAAAGGAAUCAGUGAAGGGCAUUCUCCACUCGAGCUUUGUGAAAUACUGUGCAGAUGCUCAUGGCUGUGGAUGCUGUGUGGUGUGAAGAACACUGCAGUUCAUUGAAUAUGGUGUGAGGAAUGCUGCUGUGCACUGACUGUGUGGUGUGAGGAAUGCUGCUGUGCACUGAUUGUGUGCUGUGAGGAAUGCUGCUGUGCACUGACUGUGUGCUGUGAGGAAUGCUGCUGUGCAUUGAUGCUGCCUUUUUUCUUUUCUCCCUACACCUGCAUCCUUCUGGUGGCUCAGGUUGGACAACUAGGUGCCCAUGACCAAGUCCUCAUUGUGCAUGGAUUUAGUCUGGUUGGACUUUCUCAGGAAAGGCAGCUGAACUCAUGACUAGUACCAGUUCCAUGGUUACCCUGGAAGUUGAAAAUCAAGGCAUCCUCUCUCACUGCCUGUCCACCUUUCUUACCCAGCCAUUGUCCCCCAUGGUGCAGAGAGGGCCUCCUCUGUCACAGGACAUCCACUGUUUAAGCACCACCACUACCUCAGGAAAUCCAUUGUCUGUGUGUCAACUCCACUGUUACAGGACUUCAAGUGUCUCAGCACUUCAACUAUCACAGGACUUCUACUGUUCAGGAGCUCAAGGGUCUCAGCUUCUCCAGUGUCACAGGACCAUCAAUCUCACAGGACCUCCUUUGUCCAAGAACUGCACUGUCCAAGCAACACUACUAUCGCAGGACCUCCACUGUAGAAACACCUCCACUAUGGCAGGGCCUCCACUGUCCAUGCGUCAAUUCCAUUGUGGCAGG
rnacentral:sRNA from 1 species